rnacentral:lncRNA from 1 species
UCAGUUGUUGAGUAGCAGUUUCCAGAGUACAUAACUCCUAAAAUAAUUUCCUGUUGAAAAAACAGAUGUAUGUGGUAAUUAUAGUAAAUUUCAUGCAUGAUGGUUAGAAACUUAGUAGUCAUUACUACUAAGAAAACACUUGCGUUUCCUUUCAAACUUACUUUGAUUUUUAAACAGAUAAUUUUCUUUCUCCCUCUCUCCUUUUUUUAACUUGAAAAGAUGAACUAGUUAUAAAUUACUUAGAG